UACGUAGGUGGCAAGCGUUAUCCGGAUUUACUGGGUGUAAAGGGAGCGUAGACGGCCAGACAAGUCAGAAGUGAAAGCCCAGGGCUCAACCCUGGGACUGCUUUUGAAACUGCCGGGCUGGAGUGCAGGAGAGGUAAGCGGAAUUCCUAGUGUAGCGGUGAAAUGCGUAGAUAUUAGGAGGAACACCAGUGGCGAAGGCGGCUUACUGGACUGUAACUGACGUUGAGGCUCGAAAGUGUGGGGAGCAAACAGG
rnacentral:rRNA from 1 species